rnacentral:rRNA from 1 species
AGCGAACGCUGGCGGCAGGCCUAACACAUGCAAGUCGAACGAACCCGUCGGGGUUAGUGGCGGACGGGUGAGUAACACGUGGGAACGUGCCUUUAGGUUCGGAAUAACUCAGGGAAACUUGUGCUAAUACCGAAUGUGCCCUUCGGGGGAAAGAUUUAUCGCCUUUAGAGCGGCCCGCGUCUGAUUAGCUAGUUGGUGAGGUAAUGGCUCACCAAGGCUACGAUCAGUAGCUGGUCUGAGAGGAUGACCAGCCACAUUGGGACUGAGACACGGCCCAAACUCCUACGGGAGGCUGCAGUGGGGAAUCUUGCGCAAUGGGCGAAAGCCUGACGCAGCCAUGCCGCGUGGAUGAUGAAGGUCUUAGGAUUGUAAAAUCCUUUCACCGGUGAAGAUAAUGACUGUAGCCGGAGAAGAAGCCCCGGCUAACUUCGUGCCAGCAGCCGCCGUAAAAC